rnacentral:rRNA from 1 species
UACGGAAGGGGCAAGCGUUGUUCGGAAUCAUUGGGCGUAAAGGGCGCGUAGGUGGUUUUGUAUGUCUACCGUGAAAGCAUACAGCUCAACUGUAUUUUGUCGGUAGAAACUGCAGGACUUGAGGCUGGGAGGGGCUGGUGGAAUCCCCUGUGUAGCGGUGAAAUGCGUAGAGAUGGGGGAGAACACUCGUGGCGAAGGCGGCCAGCUAGACCAGUUCUGACACUGAGGCGCGACAGCGUGGGGAGCAAACAGG